AGAAGUGGAUGUUUUUGUUCAGUCAUGCAUUCGCUGCGUGCGGUCCAGUCCACAGAAAGAUCAGAACAACAAACAGCGAAAAAUAAACGGCGCUGCAGCUAAUAAUAGCAACAGGAGAUCAAACUGUUUGAGUUGGAACGAAUCUGUGCCUCUGUUUGGACUUUCAGGGUGCUGACCCGGUAGGUCCAUCAGUCUGUGAAUGUCUGCAGCAUCAUGACCAGCGUCAACUCUCCAGCAUGCCUGCUCGCCGGAACCACUUCUACAGAAGUGUUCCCUCAAGUCCAGACGGGAUGAACCCGAUGCCCCAGCAGAACCACUCUGUCAUGACACAGAUCCUCCUCUGGAUCAGGACGGGAAUUCCUCCUGGAAGCAAAGGGUUGCUGAUGGAGAUCGCUGUUGGUUCGCCGUCGUCUCCCGGCGCCAAACCGGCCAACCCGGCAGACCAACACUUCAAGUAGACGAAGCAAACGAAAGACUGAGAGAAACCGUCCAGCAGACAGAAAGUUUCAUUGCUUUUGCUUUGAACUGUUGAUGAUCACCUCUGGAAAAUUUUCAUUAAUAUCUUUAAAACGCUGGCAGCAUAAAACAAUAACUGGAACAAUCGGCAAAUUUUUCAUUUAACCACCAAAAUUUAUUUUGCAUAAUUUUAAAACAUGUAAGAAACACAAAUAAAUAAUUAAACUUAUUUUUUUAAAUAAGAAAAUAAACAUUUAAUGUCUACAGUGCAUUGAUGCAGCAUUCCUUUAGUGCAGUGUGUCAAGAGAUGCACCAAUCUUUUUUCAUUUACGAUACGAUAGAUACUUACAAACGACUAUUAGAACCACUAAAAAAAAUGGAUAAAUUUCUGCCCAAAAAUGUCAGACAUUUUUAGAUUAAUCUCAUAAGUUUUCUGGGAAAAACUUGAAAAAUUUAUCAUUUCAAAAGUUGAAAAUUUUCUAAGAAAACUUGGAAAUUUCUGAGUUUCAAAUGUUACAUUUUUGAAAGAAAGAAAUUCAGAAAUUUUGAGAAUAAUCACAAAAUUUUUUAGAUUAAUACGAGAGUAAAAAAGGAAAUUUCUGAGGAAUAUAAUUUAAAAAAAAGAAAAAUGAUAAAAAGACUUAGAUUAAUUGUAGAAAAUCACAGGUUUGAAAAGUCAAACAUUUUAAGUUAUGUAAGAGAAAAAUAUCUAAAAAUUUUCUGAGUUUCCAAAGUAUAAAAUGUUUCACUUUUGACAAAGAUUCUUAAUCCUACAUUUUUGUCAUUUCUGUCACUUCCUGGAGUUUGUUUACUCCAGUUGGCGAUUAAUCGAUUGAUUGUGAUUAAUUUAAUUGGUUUCAUUAUUUGGUUCAGAAGUUGUGAAGCUCAACAGUGGAGAUUAAAAAGUUAAUUUAAUCACUAAUUAAACCUUCAGAACCCAAAGGAACAGCUUUUCCCUCUUUCCUUUACAACAGAAACAUGUAAAACUGUUUAAAAACAUUUAAUAUGUAUUUUUUUACUGACGGUUACAGUAAAACCUGAACCGAGGGGAACCUAGUCGCUCAGAGAUGGAGGUCAAAGUCGGCGGCUUUUUGUGCAGCCAGUGAACUAGAAAAACUGCAGCGUGGAAGAACAAACGCGGCGCAAAGAAAAACCUCUUUCAGCUUCAUCAGGCAGAGCCGGCGCUUCGCUCUCUGUUGGUUUUUCCUCUGAAUGGAGGACAGCUCUGCUUACAUAAGCCUAUUUUACACUCAUUUGGAGAAAUCCGUGCGUCAGGAUUCGUCACAUUGAUUCACAGUUUGAGUCUGCAGGUCCCAAUGCUUUUCUCCAAGUUAAAA